rnacentral:rRNA from 1 species
AUCAACAGAAAAAGCACCGGCUAACUACGUGCCAGCAGCCGCGGUAAUACGUAGGGUGCAAGCGUUAAUCGGAAUUACUGGGCGUAAAGGGUGCGCAGGCGGUUCUAUAAGUCAGAUGUGAAAUCCCCGGGCUUAACCUGGGAAUUGCGUUUGAAACUGCAGAACUAGAGUGCGGCAGAGGGAGGUGGAAUUCCAUGUGUAGCAGUGAAAUGCGUAGAGAUAUGGAAGAACAUCGAUGGCGAAGGCAACCUCCUGGGCUAGCACUGACGCUCAUGCACGAAAGCGUGGGGAGCAAACAGGAUUAGAUACCCUGGUAGUCCACGCCCUAAACUAUGUCAACUAGUUGUCGGGUCUUAUUGGGCUUGGUAACGUAGCUACGCGUGAAGUUGACCGCCUGGGGAGUACGGUCGCAAGAUUAAAACUCAAAGGAAUUGACGGGGACCCGCACAAGCGGUGGAUUAUGUGGAUUAAUUCGAUGCAACGCGAAAAACCUUACCUACCCUUGACAUGUCAGAAAGUUUCCAGAGAUGGAAUCGUGCUCGAAAA